rnacentral:rRNA from 1 species
UACGUAGGUGGCGAGCGUUGUCCGGAUUUACUGGGCGUAAAGAGCGCGCAGGCGGUCGUACAAGUCGCGUGUGAAAGCCCCCGGCUCAACUGGGGAGGGUCACGCGAUACUGUUCGACUCGAAGGCAGGAGAGGGGAGCGGAAUUCCCGGUGUAGUGGUGAAAUGCGUAGAUAUCGGGAGGAACACCAGUGGCGAAGGCGGCUUCCUGGCCUGUUCUUGACGCUGAGGCGCGAAAGCUAGGGUAGCAAACGGG